rnacentral:rRNA from 1 species
UACGUAGGGUGCAAGCGUUAAUCGGAAUUACUGGGCGUAAAGCGUGCGCAGGCGGUUGUGCAAGACCGAUGUGAAAUCCCCGGGCUUAACCUGGGAAUGGCAUUGGUGACUGCACGGCUAGAGUGUGUCAGAGGGGGGUAGAAUUCCACGUGUAGCAGUGAAAUGCGUAGAGAGUGAUGGAGGAAUACCGAUGGCGAAGGCAGCCCCCCUGGGGAUAACGACUGACGCUCAUGCACGAAAGCGUGGGGAGCAAACAGG